rnacentral:rRNA from 1 species
UACGUAGGGUGCGAGCGUUGUCCGGAAUUAUUGGGCGUAAAGGGCUCGUAGGCGGUUUGUCACGUCGGGAGUGAAAACUCAGGGCUUAACCCUGAGCCUGCUUCCGAUACGGGCUGACUAGAGGUAUGCAGGGGAGAACGGAAUUCCUGGUGUAGCGGUGAAAUGCGCAGAUAUCAGGAGGAACACCGGUGGCGAAGGCGGUUCUCUGGGCAUUACCUGACGCUGAGGAGCGAAAGUGUGGGGAGCGAACAGG